UAAGCCUGCUGCCAUUCAUGUUGACUCUAAUUCAAAGCUUAGUGCAGAUUCAGGUCCUCCAGUGGCGGACCCAACUCAGAACCGCAUUCUGGCAGGUGCUCUACAGUACCUUACAUUUACCCGCCCUAACAUUCACUACAAGAAACCGGGCUGUUACCGACUGAAAUUACCGACCACUAUAAAAGUAGUCAUUAAAAAAUUAUUUACCGACCAUUUUAAGAGUAGUCGGUAAUUACCGACCACUUUUAGGGUAGUCGGUAAAUUACCGACCAUUUUUUAGAUAGUCGGUAAAUUACCGACUAUAUUUUUACGUUUACCGACUGUAUGGCUAAUUUUUGUUUUUUGAAAAUCUUAGGGUAGUCGGUAUAAUUUAUUACGCUUUACUACUUUGGGCUUUCUCCCCCUAACCCUAGCCCAUAUAUAAGAGAAAAAAGCCUUAACAACCCCCCUCUCUCUCCUCCUCACAGCCGUCCUCUUUAAUUUCUUCUCUCACCUUCCUCUUCCUUCUAUCUCCUCCCAACCGUUCUUCAUAAUAUUCAAUCUCUUCAUCAUUUCUCCCUUCUUAUCAUCAUUUCAUCCUCUCUAUUAUGCAAAUGAAGAUCGGGUGAAUUCAUAAACUCAAGCUCAAAGAAGAAGAUAGAAGAGCAAGAAAUUGAAGGAGAGUUUUUUAUUGGAAUUGUUUUGAUUCAAGAAAUUGAACAAUUGAAGGAGAUUUUUUUUUUUUAUUAUUAGAAGAGCAAGAAAUUAAAGAGCAAGACAGAUCUAAAUUUGUUGAACUUUUUUUUAUUCUUUAAUUUUCAUCAUCUGUAAUUGUAUUAACUUCUUAUGAUAUAAAAUUUUGAGUUUUUUUUCAA